rnacentral:sRNA from 1 species
AGCUAGCUCAGGGACUUCCCAGGGCCCCCACCAGGCUCCCUGUCUGUCCUGCAGGCCAGAGCCAUGCACCUCACCUGAGGCCAUGGGACCCUCUGGACACAGACGACGCUGCUUGGUCCCAGCCUCCCCAGAGCAACACGUGGAGGUGGAUAAGUGCCCCCACUCCCAACUCCCGCCCCAAGCCGCCCACCAGCCCCCUUCCCCUCCGGCCGGAGCCUGAACCGAGCCCGGCUGGCUGUGCUGCGCGGUGCCGCCGGGAAAGAUGGUCGUGGCGCUGCGGUACGUGUGGCCUCUCCUCCUCUGCAGCCCCUGCCUGCUUAUCCAGAUCCCCGAGGAAUAUGAAGGACACCAUGUGAUGGAGCCACCUGUCAUCACGGAACAGUCUCCACGGCGCCUGGUUGUCUUCCCCACAGAUGACAUCAGCCUCAAGUGUGAGGCCAGUGGCAAGCCCGAAGUGCAGUUCCGCUGGACGAGGGAUGGUGUCCACUUCAAACCCAAGGAAGAGCUGGGUGUGACCGUGUACCAGUCGCUCCACUCUGGCUCCUUCACCAUCACGGGCAACAACAGCAACUUUGCCCAGAGGUUCCAGGGCA